UGAGAACCCAACCUAGCUGACACCUUAAUUUUAGCCUUAUGAGAUCUUGAACAGGUACAAGUCUGCGGCUUCCUGGGCUCUGCGAGUCCCUGGAGGAGCAGAUGUGGUCUCCGUAGCUCCACACGGACCUCCAGCAGAGGACGUCCUGCCUCUGACCAUCGUGUCCCUGCUCUGCUGUUACCCAGCAGGAACCUGGCCCUUGUCAUCUCUGACAGGGACGCCCCGGCCCUUCCCAC